AUUAGAACAAUCCCGCAUACGCACAUCCCCCAGAAACAUUCCGUCAAAGGAAUGGACAAACAUGGGCCUAUACACAGAGUAGGCUACUAACGCCAAUCCAAAACUAAUCAUAAUCAACACAAAAACAACAGCAAUAAUAAUAAUAGGCUACAUGGAAACAACGUUUUUAUCGAAAUAGGUUUCUCGUUUUAUUCUCCUCUUCAACAUUUGAGCUCUAUUCUGUCUAAUCAAGCGCUUUCACACUUGUUGGCAGCAACGACCGUGCAGCAUAUAACUGUCAAAAUAACAGCGCAUCUACUCUCCAAGCAGUGGAUCUUCCAGCGUACUAGCGCUAGUUUACUGAAGCCACAAGCUGUCUCGGCUCGGCUGUUUUGCGGUCCUAAUGUUUGAGUAGAAUAUGGGAGCAUGUCGGUGUCGGAUUGUUACAGAGCAUGGUGCACACGUUUAAUUAUAUAUGCGUUCUGAAAAUGCUAUUUUAAAGAAAGACCUCUAAGAAAAAAAAUGUAGGUAGUAGAUUUUUUUACAUAGCUAUAACUAGUGCUGUACCCGGAAGCUUGGUUUUUUAUUUUGUCACAUGGCUAAGGGAUUUCAAUAACAACAAAAAAUGGCGACAAUCACGUUGUUCAAUGUGGUCUUGCUGCGUCAUUAAAAACAUUCAUGUAAACAGGGAGAAGAAACAGAAAAUCUGCGGGUCUGCUGACCUGUCAUGAAGAUGGAUGGUACGAGAAGCUGGUGUUGAGUUGCCAAAUUGCAGAGGAGCUGAAGCACUGCUUGAUGUGACAGGCUGCCCUGGUUCAGUUAUCACAGUGCUGAUGCUGUCCAUCUUAAAGGUACAGUACUGUGAUAACUGAAGGAUGGCAGCCAUCUUGACAGCACAGGUGCUUGUAUCCUAGACCUCUCUGGUAAAAUGUCAAAAUAUGGGAAAGGUUCUUUUUUUCAACUUCUACAGUGAUAGGUGUGUAAGGUCCCUACAGGCAUAUCUGCAAAAGCACAAAACCAUUCUGUCAUAACUGUCAAAUACAUCUUAGUGUUUUGUUACUUCUGUUUUUUAUUACAUUUAUUUCAGUUUAAAAUAAAAAGUUGCAAUGUAAUAUGUGCUCAAACUUGUCAUUGAAAUGUAUGGCCAGUACAUUUUAUUAUAUGACUGUGUGAUUCCACUGUUGUAAAAUGUCUGCCUAUUAAAAGCCGCUAUACUGAAAAAUA